AAUAACAUCAGUCAAACAAAUUGGAGAAAAUUGAGCUAAAUUGGAAAAAAAUUGGAAAACCAUAGAAAUAUUGAGUAUUUUAAUAAGAGCACCAAUUUGAUCAUUAGCUGUUGAUGAAUUAAUAGUUGAUUAGGUUUGGUUGCCAUAACUCCGAGCUCAAGCGACUAAGUUGUUUUUAAGAAACACUCAAUAUGUAGCGUGAGCCAGU
rnacentral:misc_RNA from 1 species